rnacentral:rRNA from 1 species
GACAGAGGGUGCAAACGUUGUUCGGAAUUACUGGGCGUAAAGAGCGCGCAGGCGGUCGUUCAAGUCGCGUGUGAAAGCCCCCGGCUCAACUGGGGAGGGUCACGCGAUACUGAUCGACUCGAAGGCAGGAGAGGGUAGUGGAAUUCCCGGUGUAGUGGUGAAAUGCGUAGAUAUCAAGUGGAACACCAGUGGCGAAGGCGAGUCUCUGGACAUUUCCUGACGCUGAGGCACGAAAGCCAGGGGAGCAAACGGG